UACGUAGGCAGCGAGCGUUGUUCGGAGUUACUGGGCGUAAAGGGUGUGUAGGCGGUUAUUUAAGUUUGGUGUGAAAUCUCCCAGCUCAACCGGGAGGGUGCGCCGAAUACUGAAUGACUUGGAGUGCGGGAGAGGUGAGUGGAAUUCCUGGUGUAGCGGUGAAAUGCGUAGAUAUCAGGAGGAACACCGGUGGUGUAGACGGCUCACUGGACCGUAACUGACGCUGAGACACGAAAGCGUGGGUAGCAAACAGG
rnacentral:rRNA from 1 species